UUAUCUGCAGGGCAUGAUCG
rnacentral:misc_RNA from 1 species